rnacentral:rRNA from 1 species
GAGUUUAAUAAAUUUCUUAUUUUAAUAUAAAUUUAAUUUUAAUAAGAUGUUUAUUUGAUUGGGAGGAUUUAUAAAUUAAUUUAACUUUAUAAUUUUUUAAAACUAUAAUUAUUGAAAUUUUGAUUAUAUAAUAUAUAUAUUAAAAUUAAUUACCUUAGGGAUAACAGCGUAAUACUUUUGGAUAGUUCUUAUAAAUAAAAGUGAUUGC